rnacentral:rRNA from 1 species
UACGUAGGGGGCAAGCGUUGUCCGGAAUCAUUGGGCGUAAAGAGCGUGUAGGCGGCUCGAUAAGUCCGCUGUGAAAGUCCAGGGCUCAACCCUGGAAGGCCGGUCGGAAACUGUCGGGCUAGAGUCCGGAAGAGGCGAGUGGAAUUCCUGGUGUAGCGGUGAAAUGCGCAGAUAUCAGGAAGAACACCUAUGGCGAAGGCAGCUCUCGUGGGACGGUACUGACGCUGAGACGCGAAAGCGUGGGGAGCGAACAGG